UACAGAGGGGGCAAGCGUUGUUCGGAAUUACUGGGCGUAAAGGGCGCGUAGGCGGCCUGUUAAGUCGAACGUGAAAUCCCCGGGCUCAACCCGGGAACUGCGUCCGAUACUGGCAGGCUUGAAUCCGGGAGAGGGAUGUGGAAUUCCAGGUGUAGCGGUGAAAUGCGUAGAUAUCUGGAGGAACACCGGUGGCGAAGGCGGCAUCCUGGACCGGUAUUGACGCUGAGGUGCGAAAGCGUGGGGAGCGAACAGG
rnacentral:rRNA from 1 species